rnacentral:lncRNA from 1 species
GAAGUCCCUGAAGCUGUAGAAGGAGAUGUCACCAUGAUCCACCAGGGCAAAGAUCAGAGGGACAUCCCCACUCUGGUACUGCAGAGACGGCACUGCUUGGAAACUUACCGGGCACCUCCAUCAGGAAGGUGUGUUGUCUGCAGCACAGAGAUAUGCUGAAGGACCACGGCUACAAGGACACAGAAAACAAGGCCCUGCUGCAGCCGCCGGAGAACUGACCGUGCUUGUGGGUCCACUCCCUCCUCCCACAUCUUCCUUAAGCCUCA